UCCACACACACGUACAGUUGAGUGUCCCUGAGGAUUUCAAGUUUGAUCUGUGAGAUGAACUGGCUUCUAAUGAGCAUCUGUGGUUGCUUGCAAGCUUCUUCCAGGUGGUCUCACUGACCUGUGAGCAAUCUUUAAACCCAGUGGUGUUUGAGCUUAUGUUCCCCUGCUUUCCUUCGACGCAAAGGCCGGACGGCUUUACGGUGACCUGCAAAACAGCAAGAAACCGCCUGGGGUAUGUGGAGCCUGUUGGUGCCUUUCCAUGGCGUCCUGACUGCAAGAUCUACAUGUGGCUGGCAGAGCAGGGGGAAAAGUGGAAGGUCUGAGACUGGCCAAGUCAAUCACUGGACCUAAACCAAAUAGAGCAUGCAUUUUACCUCCUGAAGAGGAGACUGAUGGUCGCUUGUAGUUGGUAG